UACAGAGGGUGCGAGCGUUGAUCGGAAUUACUGGGCGUAAAGCGCGCGUAGGCGGCUUUGCAAGCCGGAUGUGAAAUCCCCGGGCUUAACCUGGGAACUGCAUUCGGGACUGCAUUGCUAGAGUAUGGGAGAGGGAAGUGGAAUUUCAGGUGUAGCGGUGAAAUGCGUAGAUAUCUGAAGGAACAUCAGUGGCGAAAGCGACUUCCUGGACCAAUACUGACGCUCAUGUGCGAAAGCGUGGGGAGCAAACAGG
rnacentral:rRNA from 1 species